GCGCCUUUAGCUCAGCUGGUAGAGCAGUAGACUCUUAAUCUAUUUGUCCAGGGUUCGAGUCCCUGAAGGCGCA
rfam:Clostridium saccharolyticum-like K10 draft genome.